AUGGAAACAGAGCUGAAACGGCCUGUGCUUUUGCCCCCACCUGAACCUCUCCCUGAGAAGCUGAUUGAAGAGGAGGCUUUGGACGGUGCUCAAAAGUAUGUGGACAAUCUCCCUGAAGGAGGUAACAGUGAUUUCACAAGACAUUUCUUAUCAAGAGAAAAUCACUGUGCAUUGAGUAGCUGCGCGGCUGUUCGAGAGUGCCGCCCACACAUUCCGGAAGGAAACCCCUUAAACCGUUACAUUUGCACCAGUAAACCGUUCAACAGAUCAGACCACCAGUAA
rnacentral:lncRNA from 1 species